GGUUGUGGCUCAGUGGUAGAGUGCUUGCUUUGCACAUGUGACACACUGGGUUCGAUCCUCAGCACCA
rnacentral:tRNA from 1 species